GAGAGAGAGAGAGAGAGAGAGAGAUAAUAGCACUCUCGGGACUUGGAAUAAGUAUAAAACUUAGCUUUUAAUUAGCUCUAAAAAUAGGUCAAUUAACCUAUUUUUAGAGCUAAUUAAAAGCUAAGUUUUAUACUUAUUCCAAGUCCUGAGAGUGCUAUCUGGAUUGUUUCUCUGUAUUUCAGCCU